AUACUGUGAGCUCGAUGAGUAGGGCGGGACACGUGGUAUCCUGUCUGAAUAUGGGGGGACCAUCCUCCAAGGCUAAAUACUCCUGACUGACCGAUAGUGAACCAGUACCGUGAGGGAAAGGCGAAAAGAACCCCGGCGAGGGGAGUGAAAAAGAACCUGAAACCGUGUACGUACAAGCAGUGGGAGCACAGAGCAAUCUGUGUGACUGCGUACCUUUUGUAUAAUGGGUCAGCGACUUAUAUUCUGUAGCAAGGUUAACCGAAUAGGGGAGCCGAAGGGAAACCGAGUCUUAACUGGGCGUUAAGUUGCAGGGUAUAGACCCGAAACCCGGUGAUCUAGCCAUGGGCAGGUUGAAGGUUGGGUAACACUAACUGGAGGACCGAACCGACUAAUGUUGAAAAAUUAGCGGAUGACUUGUGGCUGGGGGUGAAAGGCCAAUCAAACCGGGAGAUAGCUGGUUCUCCCCGAAAGCUAUUUAGGUAGCGCCUCGUGAAUUCAUCUCCGGGGGUAGAGCACUGUUUCGGCAAGGGGGUCAUCCCGACUUACCAACCCGAUGCAAACUGCGAAUACCGGAGAAUGUUAUCACGGGAGACACACGGCGGGUGCUAACGUCCGUCGUGAAGAGGGAAACAACCCAGACCGCCAGCUAAGGUCCCAAAGUCAUGGUUAAGUGGGAAACGAUGUGGGAAGGCCCAGACAGCCAGGAUGUUGGCUUAGAAGCAGCCAUCAUUUAAAGAAAGCGUAAUAGCUCACUGGUCGAGUCGGCCUGCGCGGAAGAUGUAACGGGGCUAAACCAUGCACCGAAGCUGCGGCAGCGACGCUGAUGCGUUGUUGGGUAGGGGAGCGUUCUGUAAGCCUGUGAAGGUGUACUGUGAGG
rnacentral:rRNA from 1 species